rnacentral:rRNA from 1 species
GCGGAGGCCACUGCUAUCGGGGUUCGAUUUAGCCAUGCGAGUCGAGAGGGUUCGGCCCUCGGCGUACUGCUCAGUAACACGUGGACAACCUGCCCUAAGGUGAGGGAUAACCCCGGGAAACUGGGGAUAAUACCUCAUAAUCUACAGAUGCUGGAAUGCCCUGUAGGUAAAAGGUCAGCCGCCUUAGGAUGGGUCUGCGGCCGAUUAGGUAGUUGUUGGGGUAAUGGCCCAACAAGCCUGUAAUCGGUACGGGUUGUGGGAGCAAGAGCCCGGAGAUGGAUUCUGAGACAAGAAUCCAGGCCCUACGGGGCGCAGCAGGCGCGGAAACUUUACAAUGCAGGAAACUGUGAUAAGGGAACCCCGAGUGCCCGUAUGGACGGGCUGUUCAGGUGCGUAAAAAACAC